rnacentral:rRNA from 1 species
CAAGUCGAACGGCAGCGCGGGAGCAAUCCUGGCGGCGAGUGGCGAACGGGUGAGUAAUAUAUCGGAACGUGCCCUGUAGCGGGGGAUAGCCCGGCGGAAGCCGGAUUAAUACCGCAUACGCUCUACGGAGGAAAGCGGGGGUUCUUGGGCAACUGAGGACCUCGCACUAUAGGAGCGGCCGAUAUCGGAUUAGCUAGUUGGCGGGGUAAAAGCCCACCAAGGCGACGAUCCGUAGCUGGUCUGAGAGGAUGAUCAGCCACACUGGAACUGAGACACGGUCCAGACUCCUACGGGAGGCAGCAGUGGGGAAUUUUGGACAAUGGGCGCAAGCCUGAUCCAGCCAUGCCGCGUGAGUGAAGGAGGCCUUCGGGUUGUAAGCUCUUUCGGCAGGAACGAAAUGGUCCGUGCUAAUACCACGGACUGAUGACGGUACCUGAAGAAGAAGCACCGGCUAACUACGUGCCAGCAGCCGCGGUAAUACGUAGGGUGCAGGCGUUAAUCGGAAUUACUGGGCGUAAAGCGUGCGCAGGCGGUUUCUUAAGUCAGAUGUGAAAGCCCCGGGCUUAACCUGGGAACUGCGUUUGAAACUGGGAGACUUGAGUGUGGCAGAGGGGGGUGGAAUUCCACGUGUAGCAGUGAAAUGCGUAGAUAUGUGGAGGAACACCGAUGGCGAAGGCAGCCCCCUGGGUUAACACUGACGCUCAUGCACGAAAGCGU